rnacentral:rRNA from 1 species
UAGGGACCCUAGUGGCGGACGGGUGAGUAACGCGUGGGUAACCUGCCCCAUACCGGGGGAUAACACUUAGAAAUAGGUGCUAAUACCGCAUAAGCGCACGGUACUGCAUGGUACAGUGUGAAAAACUCCGGUGGUAUGGGAUGGACCCGCGUCUGAUUAGCUUGUUGGCGGGGUAACGGCCCACCAAGGCGACGAUCAGUAGCCGGCCUGAGAGGGUGGACGGCCACAUUGGGACUGAGACACGGCCCAAACUCCUACGGGAGGCAGCAG